rnacentral:lncRNA from 1 species
GGCUGGAGCACCCAUGGGUGGGGUUGAAGGACCUUGGGUGGAGGUUGGAGGACCUGGGAUGGGGUUGGAGGACCUUGGGGUUGGGUCCUAGCACCCAUGGGUGGGGUUGGAGCACCCUUGGGUGGGGUCAGAGGACCUGGGAUGGGGUUGGAGGACCUUGGGGUUGGGUCCUAGCACCCAUGGGUGGGGUUGGAAGACCUUGGGUGAAGGUUGGAGGACCUUAGAUGGGCUUGGAGAACCUUCAGGUUGGGUUGGAGCACCCAUGGGUGCUCUACGGCCAACGUUGGGUCUUGGGGGUUGGCCAACACCACCUUGGAGGACCAUGGGACCCAUUUUGAGUGUGUUAGGUGAAGACCGUGAGCACCCAUGGGUGCUUCUUGAUGUCCUGGGGUGCUCCCCAACCACCCCCAGCACCCAUGGGUGCUCCUUGACCACCCAUGGGUGCUCUACAACCAACGUUGGGUCUUGGGCCCCCCCCUGUGGGCCCACGGUUGGCUUGGAGUUGGCGUUGGAUGAACCCCAGGGUGCCCCCAGCACCCAUGGGUGCCCCCCUGCCCCCAGCACCCAUGGGUGCCCCCCUGCCCCCCCCCCAUCCCCCCCCAAUAAAGCGCUUGGAGCUGUGGGCGUGGCUGCGCGGGGCCUUUUUUUUGGGGGGGGGGGGGGGGUCAUAGAGGGGGGGGGGGGGGGGGGUAGAGUGUCCCCUGGGCGCGUGGUGCCCUGCUGGAAACCAUAGAGACGUGGAGGACCUCGGGAAACCAUAGAGUGCUGGAGGACUUUCCUCCUAGACAGUCCCUGCGGAGACCAUAGAGAUGUGGAGGACCUUCCUCCUAGAAAGUCCACCCCAUGGUCAUAGAGUCCUGGAGGACCUCCCUCCUAGAGAGUCCAAACGGUGACCAUAGAGACCUGGAGGACCUUUGUCCUAGAGAGUCCACACAGUGACCAUAGAGUCCUGGAGGACUCCUCAUGCAAUGACCAUAGAGUCCCGGAGGACCUCCUUCCCAGAUCACCCACGCAGUGACCAUAGAGACGUAGAGGACCUCCUUGCUAGACAGUCCACGGGGUGACCAUAGAGUCCUGGAGGACCACCUAGUGUAACCUGAGGAGCGACCAUAGAGUCUUGGAGGACUCCCCCAUGCAAUGACCACAGAGUCCUGGAGGACCUCCCUUCUAGAAAGUCCAUCCCAUGACCAUAGAGUCCCGGAGGACUUCUCUCCUAGAGCACCCACGUGGCGACCAUAGAGUCCUGGAGGACCUUUGUCCUAGAGCGCCCACGUAGUGACCAUAGAGACGUGGAGGACCUCCAUGCUAGAAAGUCCAAACCGUGACCAUAGAGUCCUGGAGGACUCCUCUUGCAGUGACCAUAGAGUCCUGGAGGACCUCCUUCCCAGAGUGCCCACGCGGUGACCAUAGAGUCCUGGAGGACUUACCCAGCGCGCCCUCCCCGUGACCAUAGAGUCCUGGAGGACUCCCCAUGCAGUGACCAUAGAGUCUUGGAGGACCUCCUUCCCAGAGUGCCCACGUGGCGACCAUAGAGUCUUGGAGGACUUACCCAGAGCGCCCUCCCCCUGACCAUAGAGUCCCGGAGGACCUUCCUCCUAGAGAGUCCAAACGAUGACCAUAGAGUCUGGAGGACUUCUCUCCUAGAGCGCCCACGUGGUGACCAUAGAGUCCCGGAGGACUUACCCAGCGCGCCCUCCCCUGACCAUAGAGUCCUGGAGGACUCCUCAUGCAAU